rnacentral:rRNA from 1 species
UACGGGGGGGGUAAGCGUUGUUCGGAAUUACUGGGCGUAAAGGGCUCGUAGGCGGCCCACUAAGUCAGACGUGAAAUCCCUCAGCUUAACUGGGGAACUGCGUCCGAGACUGGAUGGCUUGGAUUCGGGAGAGGAAUGCGGAAUUCCAGGUGUAGCGGUGAAAUGCGUAGAUAUCUGGAGGAACACCGGUGGCGAAGGCGGCAUUCUGGACCGAUAUUGACGCUGAGGAGCGAAAGCCAGGGGAGCAAACGGG